AAUACACACGCACCUAUGUACAUUAUAAUAACAUAAGCUGAGAUACGAAAGUUAAUAAAGUCCUCACUGUGUAUGGUUUCUAUCCAACUUGGCAGUCUAGUAUUUUUCCUAGAUAUUUUUCCAUGAAACAUAAGAAGAGGUAGUUGUUGUAUUACAAAUACUUAGUUAUAAAACUGGUAUGUCUAAAAAAUAGGCGAAAGAUACAAAAGGGACAUUCAAACUCAUAAGUUGAAGACAAACCGACAAUCCAUGGCAAAAAAUAAAAAAAGACAAAAAGACAUACAACAAUACACAAAACACAACACAGAAAACUAAAGAGCAAAAGGAACACCACAAAAAUCCGAAUUGAUCUCAAGUACUCCGGAAGGGUAAUGUGGAGGUAAUCAUUUCCUUUUAUAUAUGCAUCAUCAAAUUUGGUCUGACUUCUGACGCAGCCUUUGAACGCAUUGCUCAUAGAAAACAUCAAACUUGCCUACCAUAAACCUGGGUCCGCAUGUUCCUGUCUAAAUCGUUACAAAUCCAUUAGCAAGCAGAUAAAUCAUACAACAUUCGUUUCCGUAACAAAAGCUAAUUUCAUCGAACCCUCGAUUGUUUUGUUUUUCAUAAUUGUGAAUAAAAGGUAUGGAAAUUUGAUAAGGAAUUAAAUGGUGUUUGAUUUAUGUGUUUGACUUGGAUGUAUUACAAUUCGGAGACUUUAACUUGCCGAAGUCUGGAUCGGCAAUUUCCAUGGUCCAAGCAAAUCCCCCAAAAGCCGUUAUUUAUCAGAACUAUCUUGGAAUAGGUAAAGCAAUUGUCUAAGCCAGGAACACUACAAAACCGUUAAUCAUGUCAGAUUGAUAUUACAGAGCUAAAAUGUUACUUAUAGGUUGAUAUAUAGAUAUUGUAGAUAUUGUAGCGAUCCAACAAUUUAUGAUGUUACAGUAUUCGAGAAUUAUGUCGUUCGUCCUCGUAACCUUCUGUAGUAGUGUUUUGGUAGGAUAAAGCUUCCGUUAGUAGAUUUUUAUAUUUUUAAUAAAGGUAGGUAAAACCAUAUGCUUUGACAGUUCGUUCGAAUAAAGAGGAAUAUAAACAAAAGAUGAAGCAGACCUUUCAUCCUGUAUUAUCUAUACUUCAAGUUCAAACGAUAGAUUUCAAUUCAAGGAAUAAACGUAUCUGUAUAUGUGCAUGUUCAAGACAAAAAGUGCUAACAAAAUUCUGGAUAGAAGAUAACAAAACAACUAUGUAAACUUAAACGUAACGUGUUACUUCAAUAACCUAGGAUAUUUAAAUUUGGGGCGCCAGAUUAAAAACAAAACAAAAUAUUUAAGAGGUUCACACUUAGAAGAGCAUUAAAAAGGUUGCAAAAUUCAUCUAAGGUCGGUUUGCCUGAAGGAUUUUAAGCUUGAUUUUAGAAAAAAAUACCAAAUUUAUCUUUUAAAACAUUACAACAGUUUUCAGCCGAUACUAAGCAAAAGCAACAUGACAGAUGUACAAAACACAAAAAGAAAAUACUAAUACAGAUAGGUUUAUAAUUUGCAAAAUUAGUGUUGACAGUUUUACAUUAUAUUUACAUUUCAAUGACCCUGUGAAAUAAAUUGGGCAUUAAAAGUUGUUUCCACAUUAUAGCAUAAUUUGUGAAGGAAAAUAAAAGUAAUAUAUUCACGAAAAAGUGUAACGGUCUUCUACUUGCAAAUAAGGUAACAGUGUAGUCAAAGACUACAAAAAUAUUAAUAUUCGUCUUUUGUUUCAUUUGAAAACGACAAGCAACAACACAUUUCUUUUAUACCUUCGAUGAUUUUUGUUUCUAGCAUUUUUUUACACCUUCAUCCCUUUGAUUAGAUUCCGUUUCAAACUAUUUUAAAUAUAGUUUUAAAUUAACAUAUGAGACGAUAAUAUAAAAUGACAUACAUCAUCCAAGUAUAACCAAUCCUUCAGAUUUGGUAUGAAUACUUGGAUGUAUAUACUCUUUCAAUGUGUUGUUGUCUUUAAGUGUCUCUGAUCAAAUAUUUUCAAAUG